rnacentral:tRNA from 1 species
GCCUCAGUAGCUUAGCCUGGUGGAGCGCAUGGCUGUUAACCAUGAGGUCGGAGGUUCAAAUCCUCCCUGGGGCG